UCUCUAUGCCAUCGUCAUGGUUGAUUAUGAUCAAGAUGGUGGAGAAUCCUGUAAAGAUAUUCUCAGGACAACAGACGGCAUAGAUCGUUUAGCCCUUUAUCACUCAUCAGUUGGAAGCUCUUUCAGAAGCUGUACCCUGAUGAUGAAUUCUUUCCAGAGACGGGAAACACCGACUCUCCCGAUAAGCUAGAAGAUGAUGACAGUGAAGUUGGCCUAGAAUCCUAGUGACGAUCCCAGAAAGUUCUAAAACGUAGAUACAGAAGAUAGAUGUGGUCAGUUUUAUAUGUUGUAUUGUAUCAGAGUGAGUCGAUAACCAUGGGCCCAGCCGCUGUGGCUGGAAAUGUGGUUUAUGGUCUGACUGUUGAUGGUGGUUGCAUGGCCGAUGUCCGCCAUGAAAUGCGCACUGCCUGAGGUGUUCCGUGGCGGUGCUUGGUGCUUCCAAAUGGUUGUAAACACAACCUUCAUCCACAAGGAGCUGUUGUAAUGUGAAGCUGCACAUUGAUCGGUUUGCUUUUGUAUUGGUAUUUAAUCUGAACCUCUAUUCAACUUUAGGAUACUUGUUAAAUGAACUACCAUAAUCUCUUCUUUUC